rnacentral:rRNA from 1 species
UACAGAGGGUGCAAGCGUUGUUCGGAAUCACUGGGCGUAAAGGGCGCGUAGGCGGCUUUAUAAGUCGGGGGUGAAAGCCUGUGGCUCAACCACAGAAUUGCCUUCGAUACUGUAGAGCUUGAGACCGGAAGAGGUAAGUGGAACUGCGAGUGUAGAGGUGAAAUUCGUAGAUAUUCGCAAGAACACCAGUGGCGAAGGCGGCUUACUGGUCCGGUUCUGACGCUGAGGCGCGAAAGCGUGGGGAGCAAACAGG